UGAAAGGGUUGGUGAAUCCCUUGGGGUAGAGAGGAUUUGCAACCCACCAGGGAGCUCUAUUGGAAUGCUCAUUCCUGUUGUCUCUGGAAGGAAAAGGAAAGAAAAGGGAAAGGAAAGGGAGUCCGCGGGGCAACGAAGAGAUCAAAAGGCCGGGAAUUGAUUCCUGCAACUGUCUCCUACCAGAGGGAAGAUGAUGGAUGGCACUGUAAGAAGACCUCAAGGUUUCAUUUGUGGCUUUUAUGGUAGCAGGAUUGGGGGUUGUUUUCCUUCUCUGCAGCACUUACGUCAAUCAGUCUGAGAGCUGUUCUGUUAGUCUUCUCAUGAGGCAGUCUUAAACAGAGAAAAAGGCUAUACACUGAUAUUAUCAGACCUUGAACAGAGAAAGCAAGAAAAUUAUGGUCCUGGAAGAGCAUAGAAGCCUUGAGGUGGCUCUUGGUUGAUGACAAAGUGAUAGACCCUUAGACUGAUCUUUAGCUAUACAGGGUGUUUCCAGAGAGGAUUAACUGAGAUGACAAGACCUGCUUUGAAUGUGAAUGGCACAAUCCUAAGAGCUGGGGUCACAGACUGAAUAAAACGAUCGACCAAAAAGAGAAUGUCAUCUGAGCAUCAGCAUUCUUUUCUUCCUGCCUUCUUAACCAUUCACAGAAGGCACAAGCUUUCCCUGCUCUGGUUGUCUGCCCAGCUACCUUCAUCUCCUAUGAAGUUCUAGGCAGAGUCAGAUAGUACCUCAUCUAGAAAGUUG